rnacentral:rRNA from 1 species
CCUACGGGGGGCAGCAGUCGAGAAUCAUUCACAAUGGGGGAAACCCUGAUGGUGCGACGCCGCGUGGGGGAAUGAAGGUCUUCGGAUUGUAAACCCCUGUCAUGUGGGAGCAAAUUAAAAAGAUAGUACCACAAGAGGAAGAGACGGCUAACUCUGUGCCAGCAGCCGCGGUAAUACAGAGGUCUCAAGCGUUGUUCGGAAUCACUGGGCGUAAGGCGUGCGUAGGCUGUUUCGUAAGUCGUGUGUGAAAGGCGCGGGCUCAACCCGCGGACGGCACGUGAAACUGGGAGACUAGAGUAAUGGAGGGGGAACCGGAAUUCGUGGUGUAGCAGUGAAAUGCGUAGAUAUGGAGAGGAACACUCGUGGCGAAGGCGGGUUCCUGGACAUUAACUGACGCUGAGGCACGAAGGCCAGGGGAGCGAAAGGGAUUAGAUACCCGGGUAGUC